GAUGAAGAACGUAGCGAAAUGCGAUAAGUAAUGUGAAUUGCAGAAUUCAGUGAAUCAUCGAAUCUUUGAACGCACAUUGCGCCCUCUGGUAUUCCGGGGGGCAUGCCUGUUCGAGCGUCAUUAUAUCCACUCAAGCUCUCGCUUGGUAUUGGGGUUCGCGGUUUCGCGGCCCCUAAAAUCAGUGGCGGUGCCUGUCGGCUCUACGCGUAGUAAUACUUCUCGCGAUUGAGUUCGAUAGGUCUACUUGCCAGUAACCCCCAAUUUUUACAGGUUGACCUCGGAUCAGGUAGGGAUACCCGCUGAACUUAAGCAUAUCAAUAAGCGGAGGA
rnacentral:misc_RNA from 1 species